rnacentral:rRNA from 1 species
GGAUUAGAUACCCUGGUAGUCCAUGCAGUAAACGAUGGGUGCUAGUCGUCGGACUUUUGUUCGGUGUCGUAGCUAACGCGUUAAGCACCCCGCCUGGGGAGUACGGUCGCAAGAUUAAAACUCAAAUAAAUUGACGGGGACCCGCACAAGCAGUGGAGCAUGUGGUUUAAUUCGACGCAAAGCGAAGAACCUUACCAGCGUUUGACAUGGGAAGUGCCGGUUACAGAAUGGUAACCUUCAGUUCGGCUGGCUUCCGCACAGGUGCUGCAUGGCUGUCGUCAGCUCGUGCCG